GGCAUAUUAGCUCGAUUGAUUAGAGCGUCGUAUUAAUAAUGCGAAAGUCACAAGUUUGAGACCUGCAUGAACCA
rnacentral:tRNA from 1 species